AUUGAACGCUGGCGGCAUGCUUUACACAUGCAAGUCGAACGGUAACAGGCCGCAAGGUGCUGACGAGUGGCGAACGGGUGAGUAAUGCAUCGGAACGUGCCCAGUCGUGGGGGAUAACGCAGCGAAAGCUGCGCUAAUACCGCAUACGAUCUAUGGAUGAAAGCGGGGGACCGUAAGGCCUCGCGCGAUUGGAGCGGCCGAUGUCGGAUUAGGUAGUUGGUGGGGUAAAGGCUCACCAAGCCAACGAUCUGUAGCUGGUCUGAGAGGACGACCAGCCACACUGGGACUGAGACACGGCCCAGACUCCUACGGGAGGCAGCAGUGGGGAAUUUUGGACAAUGGGCGCAAGCCUGAUCCAGCAAUGCCGCGUGCAGGAAGAAGGCCUUCGGGUUGUAAACUGCUUUUGUACGGAACGAAAAGGCUCUGGAUAAUACCUGGGGCUCAUGACGGUACCGUAAGAAUAAGCACCGGCUAACUACGUGCCAGCCGCCGCCGUAAAAC
rnacentral:rRNA from 1 species